GGAUAACUUACCCUUAGGACUGGGAUAACUCUGGGAAACUGGGGAUAAUACUGGAUAUUAGGCUAUGCCUGGAAUGGUUUGCCUUUGAAAUGUUUUUUUUCGCCUAAGGAUAGGUCUGCGGCUGAUUAGGUCGUUGGUGGGGUAAUGGCCCACCAAGCCGAUGAUCGGUACGGAUUGUGAGAGCAAGGGCCCGGAGAUGGAACCUGAGACAAGGUUCCAGACCCUACGGGGUGCAGCAGGCGCGAAACCUCCGCAAUGUACGAAAGUGCGACGGGGGGAUCCCAAGUGUUAUGCUUUUUUGUAUGACUUUUCAUUAGUGUAAAAAGCUUUUAGAAUAAGAGCUGGGCAAGACCGGUGCCAGCCGCCGCGGUAACACCGGCAGCUCGAGUGGUAGCUGUUUUUAUUGGGCCUAAAGCGUUCGUAGCCGGUUUGAUAAGUCUUUGGUGAAAGCUUGUAGCUUAACUAUAAGAAUUGCUGGAGAUACUAUUAGACUUGAAGUCGGGAGAGGUUAGAGGUACUACCGGGGUAGGGGUGAAAUCCUAUAAUCCUGGGAGGACCACCUGUGGCGAAGGCGUCUAACUGGAACGAUCUUGACGGCGAGUAACGAAAGCCAGGGGCGCGAACCGGAUUAGAUACCCGGGUAGUCCUGGCCGUAAACGAUGUGGACUUGGUGUUGGAAUGGCUUUGAGUU
rnacentral:rRNA from 1 species